UGACGGCAUGUAUAGAAUUGCAGAGACGGACAAUUGAGUCAAGCACGGUAGUAGCCUAUCUUUACUACUUUUUUUUUCUUGCCAUGACCAAUCACCAGAUAGAUUAUAGAUUGUGACAAAUUUUCCACGUAAAGUUUUUCCUUGUGAUCCUACAAGAGACAAUCCAGAACUGCCAUCCUUCGAAGAAACUGCUCUCAGUCAAUCAGAGAUGCUGUUUGUGGAGAACCUUGAUACAUGAAUCUACCAUUUUUGGUAAUGUUGCUUCUGUAAUAGCUUAUUAAUGAUGAAAUAAUUUGUUAUUUAUACAAAGUUAAAAUAUAAUCUAGUUUGCCACAAAAGUGGAAGUUUUUACUUUUUCUGAAUUCUCUUGUGAAUGAUUUGUACAAAAUGUAGACAACUGUAUGAUAUUAUAUGUGAAAAGUCAUCUGUUUAUGAUUUUAAACUAUUUUAUUUCAAAGGUUCAGACAGUGGUUACUUGCAUGAUUAAAUGAUUUUUGAAAGGAUGAAACAUUUCUCCAAAUUCACUGUCAUCAGUUUUGCUUAUGAGGCAAAAGAUAGUUGACUGUAAAGGGAUACAUUAUUUAUAAAGAACACUUGCAUAAUAACCCUGAGUAUAUGUGAGUUAAUUCUUGCACCCACUGACUAAAAUCAAAUAAACAAAAUCUGUUCUUAUCACCAAAUUUAUCUUUUUUAAGCUUCAUUGUUAGACAGUAAUUGUAUCGUGUGUGUGAACAGUGUUGAAAGUCAACAUGUAAGUACUCUGGCUCUUUAUGUGUUUGUUGCCCUGGAAAGCUGGUGGUGAAUUCAAAACAGUUAUGUCAGAUUGAAGAUUCAAAUGCUAAAUUUGUAUAGAUGUAAGUGAUAUUGAAAUAAACCAAUAUUUGAGAGUG